AGAACGAACGCUGGCGGCAUGCCUAAUACAUGCAAGUCGAACGAACUCUUCGGAGUUAGUGGCGCACGGGUGCGUAACGCGUGGGAAUCUGCCCCUUGGUUCGGAAUAACAGUUGGAAACGACUGCUAAUACCGGAUAGAUGACGAAAGUCCAAAGAUUUAUCGCCAAGGGAUGAGCCCGCGUAGGAUUAGCUAGUUGGUGAGGUAAAGGCUCACCAAGGCAAC
rnacentral:rRNA from 1 species